AAGGGUAUAGCUCAAUUGGUAGACUGCAUGCUUAGCAUGCAUGAGGUCCUGGGUAUCAAUCCCCAGUACCUCCA
rnacentral:tRNA from 1 species